ensembl:snRNA U6 U6 spliceosomal RNA
GUGCUCAGUUUGGCAGUACGUAUUCUAAAAUUGGAAUGAUACAGAGAUUAGCCUGGCCCCUGUGCAAGGAUCACAUGCAAAUUUGUGAAGCAUUUAAUAUUUUU